rnacentral:rRNA from 1 species
AUACGGGGGGAGCAAGCGUUGUUCGGAUUCAUUGGGCGUAAAGGGCGCGUAGGCGGCUUCGUAAGUCUGACGUGAAAUGUACCGGUUCAACCGGUGCGCUGUGUCGGAAACUGCGUGGCUUGAGGUCGAGGGAGGAGAGUGGAAUUCCUGGUGUAGCGGUGAAAUGCGUAGAUAUCAGGAGGAACACCCGUGGCGAAGGCGGCUCUCUAUCUCGAUUCUGACGCUGAGGCGCGAAAGCCAGGGGAGCAAACGGGAUUAGAAACCCCAGUAGUCC